AUAUUCCCUUUAUUUAUUCAAGAAAUUUGUACGUUUGAUUGAUAAGGGGUGUUAUCAAAUAUUUAGAAUUUAAUACUAUAUUCAAUUUUCAAGUUAUUUUUUUUAUAAGAUAAAUUAUUUCAUAAGUAAAAUCUAUUAUCUUAUCAAAUCAUAAAUAGUAAGACUUUAUAAGAAGUAAAAAUUAAACUCCUUACUUACCAAUCAUACGAACAAACUUUUAUAUAAAAUAAGUUAUUCCUAGAUAAUUUGUUCUAACAUCUAAACAGGGUCUUACUAUCCUAUAAUACCAUCUAAGCAAAAGCUGUACUCUUUUUUCACAAUCACGUUAGAAAAUCUUUAUACCAAAUAAAUUAUUAUUGCAUAACUUAUUUUGAGUCUAAAUUAUUGGCUUAAAUGGGCCAAAAUCUUGUUUUGUGGCGGGAGACCAGGUUGGGCCGAAUCAUAUUCGAAAUGGCAUGAGGCUGGAUAGGCCGAGUCAUGUUCGAAUUUGCGUGAGACCGGAUGGGCCGAUUUACGAUUAAAACUCGUGGGCAUUAUAUCUGUACGCUUUAAAUAAAUUGAUUGCGUAUUUCUAACAACUCGAGCUUUUAUGAUUAAUAAUUAACUCCAACGAUCCGACACAAAUAGGGCCUAAAUACGAGGUAUGCAGUAAUA
rnacentral:lncRNA from 1 species